CAAAGAAAUAAUGUUAAUUUAAUUCAAUUCAUAAUAAUAAUUAAAAAAACAGCAGUACUAUAAUUACACCAAGAAGACACAGAAAAGCUUUGCUGCGCAUAGACAGUUUUUUCCACUGUUUGAUGUGUUACGUACAGACAGGCCUUUUUGCACACAAAUAAACACUUCUCUGUUUCAACCUACAUCAGUAGUUAUUCUCAUAGCAUGUAAUGCAGCCAUAGCAUUUACAACGUGUACAGCGAUUAUCAUUUUUUGAAUAGUAUAUCAUUCAUAAAUAAAAAAAAUUGCACAAUCUGUUUAGUAGUGAUAUUAAAAAUUGAUUUUUGUUCCUCUCAUCUUUCAAAAAUAUAUAUUCAUUGGAAUUGAUAAGAAAUAUUUCAAUUUGAGAAUAUGUCUACAAAUAUUGUUGAAACCUGCUUAUCGAUUAAAUAAGAAUGUUAGACAUUUAAACGCAGAAAAAAUUUGUUUCCAAUGUUAUUUGAUUCAGAAAAUUCAAGAAGAAAAAGGACAUUACUUCAGAAACAUGCUUCCAGUGUGGUUGUAUUUUUUCUUUGGACUAACUACAUUAGUGCUAUCGUCGGCAAAUAAUGUUUUUACCAAUUCUUUCUUGGUGAAAUUUCAACAAAACAUCAAAAACAAUAUCGCACAUGAAAUCGCAUUACGUAAUGGAUUCGAAAAUGUGGGAGAGCUCUCUGGAAGUAGUGGAAGAGAAUAUCAUUUUAAACACAAAAUUCUUCAUCACGCUCGCACAAGAAGAAGCAUAACUCAUACACGUAUACUAAAACGUGAACCAUUGGAUUUAUUCCAGAAAGUGACCUUU